rnacentral:lncRNA from 1 species
CCAGUGCGUGUGUGUGAAAUAAAAUCUACCCUCCUACCUACCUUUGGGAAGAUCAUUUUGUUUUUUUGUGUUAUAAUCUUCAAAUUACCUUGCUACCCUUUGAUUAAUUGCCCCAAUUCAGAAAAUUAAUGGUAGGAUUGACCCAAUAAAUACUCUCUCCAAAGUGAAAACAGUCAUUUUUGUCCUGAAAAGUGUCACUCGUUGUCAUAAUCG